UACGGAGGGGGCUAGCGUUGUUCGGAAAUACUGGGCGUAAAGCGCACGUAGGCGGCGCAGCAAGUCAGGGGUGAAAUCCCGGGGCUCAACCCCGGAACUGCCCUUGAAACUGCAGUGCUAGAAUUCUGGAGAGGCGAGUGGAAUUCCGAGUGUAGAGGUGAAAUUCGUAGAUAUUCGCAAGAACACCAGUGGCGAAGGCGGCUCACUGGCCCGAUACUGACGCUGAGGUGCGAAAGCGUGGGGAGCAAACAGG
rnacentral:rRNA from 1 species